UGGUGGAGUGAUUUGUCUGCUUAAUUGCGAUAACGAACGAGACCUUAACCUGCUAAAUAGCCAGGCUAGCUUUGGCUGGUCGCCGGCUUCUUAGAGGGAUUAUCGGCUCAAGCCGAUGGAAGUUUGAGGCAAUAACA
rnacentral:rRNA from 1 species